GCUCAGGGUGUCGAGGUUGUCGUGCUUCAAUCGGGUUCAUCUGGUGGUGUAGCCGCUGCCGGUGCAUUUCCGGUUGAAGUUGGACCGUCAGUCGGGAAGAGACUGGGGUCUGCUUAUCGGCUACAGGGAGGUGGGCAGUGGGUUGGCCUCGGCCUCUCAUUGUCACAUAUAGCCUGUGGUCGUGGCCUCAGUUGUCUUUCAGGUGUGUUGGACGGCUAAUCGUCCAUAAUGGGUAGGUGCAGCCUCUCCUCGUGGGGGAUCGGGCCUGCCUCAUGGUUGCGGGAUGUUGUGAUGCGUGUGUUCCGUGCUUUCGCCGUUUGAUUCGUUCGGCGGUGUGGGGUACGGCACUGCCCGCAACAGUCUUGUCCCAUGUGGUAGUGUUCAUGUA
rnacentral:misc_RNA from 1 species